rnacentral:siRNA from 1 species
UGCUUGUUCAGAUUUUUCUUGCCU